CUGAGUUCUCUGCACCAACAAUAUUAUGCAAGUUCUUGUUUAACGUAAGUAGGUCAUCCGCAACCACUUCAAAAACAUUAGUCAAUGAAAUAGGUUUUUCUGACUUAUUCAAAUCCAAAACUGGUGCCAACCCAGUAAGUGAAGCCUUAGUUGAAAUACGCCCAAAUUCUUGUCUGCAAGACAACAACUUCUUCCCACUGAAUCUUCUACUUACAUUUCUCAAAACACCCUUUGAAAAAGAACAGCCACAAGCCAAAGACUCCAAUGGGGUUCUCCCAAUUUCAAGAUUAUGGCAAGUCACAGACAUCAUCUUUGUAACACCCACUUAGCUAAAUCACCAAAUUUUUUGCCUUGCAAUGCUUCAAGAUUGCUUUUUUCGACACCCCAAUAGGCAAAAAAGAACAGAAAACUACUAUGGAAACAAUUUGAACACUUGG
rnacentral:misc_RNA from 1 species